GGUCCUGAUUCAGUGUGCCGGAAGUGAGGAAAAGAAUGAAAGAUAUCUUCUACUCUUCCCAAAUGUUUUGCUAAUGUUGUCUGCCAGUCCUAGGAUGAGUGGCUUUAUCUAUCAGGGAAAGCUUCCAACGACAGGAAUGACAAUCACAAAGCUUGAGGACAGUGAAAAUCAUAGAAAUGCAUUUGAAAUAUCAGGGAGCAUGAUUGAGCGGAUAUUAGUGUCGUGCAACAACCAGCAGGAUCUGCAGGAAUGGGUGGAGCACCUACAGAAGCAAACGAAGGUCACGUCUGUGGGAAACCCCACCAUAAAGCCUCAUUCAGUGCCAUCUCAUACCGUAAGGACUUGGUGCUUCUCCUCCUUCCAGACUCCAGGCGUGGCAUCCCGUGGCUGAGCUGUCAGCAAGUGAUCAGUUGCUUUAAAACCUAAUCAAUAUUUGGAUAAAAAGUGCAAAACACUUGCUUCACAUUUCUCUGCAGAUCUUUGGCCCUCUUCGUGCAGUAGUGAAUUGUUUUCCAAUGAGUGUUCUCGAGAAACAACCCUGAAUUGUGCCUCCUCACGCACAGUUCAGAGGUGCUUGGGUGGGAAGCUGCUUCUGCUCCGUGUGGCCCUAGAAGACUGAUUUAGGGGAGUUUUACACUCAACUAUAGAUGAUUUUUCUGAGAAUUUUAACUGUUUAUUAUGCUUCAUUUAAGAAAACAAAAAAUAAAUGAUUAUGAUGAUGAAAAGGGCCAGACUCAUGUUGAAGGCAUUAAAAGAAUUUAUGACA
rnacentral:lncRNA from 1 species